AGGGAUUGCCCUAGUAACGGCGAGUGAAGCGGCAACAGCUCAAAUUUGAAAUCUGGCUCUCGGGCCCGAGUUGUAAUUUGUAGAGGAUACUUUUGAUGCGGUGCCUUCCGAGUUCCCUGGAACGGGACGCCAUAGAGGGUGAGAGCCCCGUCUGGUUGGAUGCCAAAUCUCUGUAAAGUUCCUUCAACGAGUCGAGUAGUUUGGGAAUGCUGCUCUAAAUGGGAGGUAUAUGUCUUCUAAAGCUAAAUACCGGCCAGAGACCGAUAGCGCACAAGUAGAGUGAUCGAAAGAUGAAAAGCACUUUGAAAAGAGAGUUAAAAAGUACGUGAAAUUGUUGAAAGGGAAGCGUUUAUGACCAGACUUGGGCUUGGUUAAUCAUCUGGGGUUCUCCCCAGUGCACUUUUCCAGUCCAGGCCAGCAUCAGUUUUCCCCGGGGGAUAAAGACGGCGGGAAUGUGGCUCUCUUCGGGGAGUGUUAUAGCCCGCCGUGUAAUACCCUGGGGGGGACUGAGGUUCGCGCAUCUGCAAGGAUGCUGGCGUAAUGGUCAUCAACGACCCGUCUUGAAACACGGACCAAGGAGUCGUCUUCGUAUGCGAGUGUUCGGGUGUCAAACCCCUACGCGUAAUGAAAGUGAACGCAGGUGAGAGCUUCGGCGCAUCAUCGACCGAUCCUGAUGUUCUCGGAUGGAUUUGAGUAAGAGCAUACGGGGCCGGACCCGAAAGAAGGUGAACUAUGCCUGUAUAGGGUGAAGCCAGAGGAAACUCUGGUGGAGGCUCGCAGCGGUUCUGACGUGCAAAUCGAUCGUCAAAUAUGGGCAUGGGGGCGAAAGACUAAUCGAACCUUCUAGUAGCUGGUUUCCGCCGAAGUUUCCCUCAGGAUAGCAGUGUUGAACUCAGUUUUAUGAGGUAAAGCGAAUGAUUAGGGACUCGGGGGCGCUAUUUAGCCUUCAUCCAUUCUCAAACUUUAAAUAUGUAAGAAGCUCUUGUUGCUUAAUUGAACGUGAGCAUUCGAAUGUAUCAACACUAGUGGGCCAUUUUUGGUAAGCAGAACUGGCGAUGCGGGAUGAACCGAACGCGAGGUUAAGGUGCCAGAGUAGACGCUCAUCAGACACCACAAAAGGUGUUAGUACAUCUUGACAGCAGGACGGUGGCCAUGGAAGUCGGAAUCCGCUAAGGACUGUGUAACAACUCACCUGCCGAAUGUACUAGCCCUGAAAAUGGAUGGCGCUCAAGCGUCUCACCCAUACCUCGCCCUCAGGGUAGAAACGAUGCCCUGAGGAGUAGGCGGACGUGGAGGUCAGUGACGAAGCCUA
rnacentral:rRNA from 1 species